UACGUAGGGGGCAAGCGUUGUCCGGAUUUAUUGGGCGUAAAGAGCGUGUAGGCGGCCAGGUAGGUCGGUUGUGAAAACUGGAGGCUCAACCUCCAGACGUCGACCGAAACCAUCUGGCUAGAGUCCGGAAGAGGAGAGUGGAAUUCCUGGUGUAGCGGUGAAAUGCGCAGAUAUCAGGAAGAACACCCGUGGCGAAGGCGGCUCUCUGGAACGCAACUGACGCUGAGACGCGAAAGCUAGGGUAGCAAACGGG
rnacentral:rRNA from 1 species